rnacentral:SRP_RNA from 1 species
CACUCGCAAUGUUAGAGGGUAAACCCCGCCAGGUCCGGAAGGAAGCAACGGUAGCUCUCGUCGCAGGUGCCGAGUUGUGGCUA